AAACGACCUCAGUUCGGGCGAGAUCACCCGCUAAACUUAAGCAUAUCGCUAAGCGGAGGAAAAGAAACUAACAAGGAUUCCCUUAGUAGCGGCGAGCGAACAGGGAAAAGCCCAGCGCCGAAUCCCACGGUCCGAGAGGACCGAUCGGGAAAUGUGGCGUUAAGGAGGAUCCGCAAGCCCCGGAGUCGCGCGAGGCGAGUCCAAGUCCUUCUUGAAAGAGGCCGAUCCACCCGUAGAGGGUGCCAGGCCCGUAGGACCGCUUCCCGACGACGGGUCGGAUCUCUCCCUAGAGUCGGGUUGCUCGGGAUUGCAGCCCUAAGUAGGUGGUAAACUCCAUCUAAGGCUAAAUACCACCACGAGACCGAUAGCGAACAAGUACCGCGAGGGAAAGUUGAAAAGAACUUUGAAGAGAGAGUUCAAGAGUACGUGAAACCGUUCAGGGGUGAACCUGAGAAACCCGAAAGGUCGAAAGCCGAGAUACAGCGUUCGUCCGCGUCGUCGAUCGAAAGAUUCUUCGUUGGUUCGCGAAUUUUUCGAGGCGCGACGCGGCGACGUGCACUUUUCGGCGAGUAGGACGUCGCGACCCGUUGGGUCAGUAGCCGACGCAUUACGGGGACGCGCGGGAAGCUCGGAAGGACGAAGCGGGUCGUGCGCCCGCCCAGUCCUCCGAACCCGUUCGCGUCCUCACCGGCGUUCGGCACGCCCGACGCGACGUAAAUAAUCACGAACCGACCGGCGGAGCGCUUAAGAGCGCGCCCGUCCCGUCGUCGUUCGACGAACGUCGUUCGGUACCGGCAGAUUCGGCGGCCCAGCGUCGUCGACUCCGGGAAAGACGCGUUCCGACGCGACGGUGUUCUCGGGCGUCUCGCACCGCCGUCGGUCUGCGACGCUAUUGCUUUGGGUAAUCUCAGGACCCGUCUUGAAACACGGACCAAGGAGUCCAACGUGCGCGCGAGUCAAUGGGCGAAUUUUAUAAACCCAAAGGCGAAGCGAAAGCGAAGGUCGGAUUGCGCGUUUCGGCGCGUCGUCCGUCGGUUGGGAGGAUGGGCGACCGUCUCGUGAGAGAUCACAAAGGUCGCUCCGCACUCCCGGGGCGUCUCGCCUCGGUAUCGGAGCGUGUCGUCGAUGCGGUUUCGGCCGUAUCGCGCCCUUCGGUACCGGAGACGCACCUCUAGCGCGCACGCUGGGACCCGAAAGAUGGUGAACUAUGCCUGGUCAGGACGAAGUCAGGGGAAACCCUGAUGGAGGUCCGCAGCGAUUCUGACGUGCAAAUCGAUCGUCAGAACUGGGUAUAGGGGCGAAAGACCAAUCGAACCGUCUAGUAGCUGGUUCUCUCCGAAGUUUCCCUCAGGAUAGCUGGCGCUCGCAUCGAGAGAGUCUCAUGCGGUAAAGCGAAUGAUUAGAGCGAAUCGGGGUCGAAACGACCUCUACCUAUUCUCAAACUUUAAAUGUGUGAGAUCUCCGGCUUGCCCGAUUAACGAAGCCGCGAGAUCGGAUCUAGAGUGCCAAGUGGGCCAAUUUUGGUAAGCAGAACUGGCGCUGUGGGAUGAACCAAACGUAAAGUUAAAGCGCCCAAAUCGACGCUCAUGGGAAACCAUGAAAGGCGUUGGUAACUCAGGACAGCAGGACGGUGACCAUGGAGGUCGGAAUCCGCUAAGGAGUGUGUAACAACUCACCUGCCGAAGUUACCAGCCCUGAAAAUGGAUGGCGCUUAAGCGUCGUGCUUAUACUUUGCCGUUGGCGGCAUGCGAAAAACGGCCGCGCAAGCGGUCGUGCAAACAGAGGCCCCGACGAGUAGGGGGGUCGCGACGGUGAGCGCAGAAGGACCGGGCGUGAGCCCGUCUGGAGCCGCCGUCGGCGCAGAUCUUGGUGGUAGUAGCAAAUACUUCAGCGAGCACCUGGAGGACUGAGGUGGAGAAGGGUUUCGUGUGAACAGCAGUUGCACACGAGUCAGUCGAUCCUAAGCCGCUAGGCGAAAGCCGAUGCUGAUGGGGCGCCGACGAAAGUCUAUCGAGCUUCUCUCCCACACUCCUCUCCGCAGCUGUCGUCGACGCCUUCGUAUUUUACCUUGUUGUGUGUAGAACGAAGAGAGAGAGAGCGACUCUCAAGUAGUCUUAAUCCUUUAGUAGUCGUCGACGUCGCCCCCCCGCGACGUACGGACAGACACGAGGACGGACAGACGAACGGACGAGCUCUCUCUCUCUCUCUCCCACAUGUGUAAAGAAGACGUUCUGACAGACGCUUUCGAGACACGAGAGAGGAAUCGUGGACGAGAGCUGUAACGAAACAAGUCGCGCCCCUAGGGCGAAAGGGAAUGCGGUUCCUAUUCCGCAACCCGGCAACGGAACCGCCAUUAUUCGGGCCCUCAUUGAGAGUUCGUCUGGGUAACCUAACACGACCCGGAGACGCCGUCGGGAGGUCCGGGAAGAGUUUUCUUUUCUGCAUGAGCGUUCGAGAUCCAUAGAAGCCUAUAGCGGGGAGAUAUGGUUCGAAACGCAAA
rnacentral:rRNA from 1 species